rnacentral:rRNA from 1 species
UACGUAGGGGGCAAGCGUUGUCCGGAUUUAUUGGGCGUAAAGAGCGUGUAGGCGGCCAGACAGGUCCGUUGUGAAAACUCGAGGCUCAACCUCGAGACGCCGAUGGAAACCGUCUGGCUAAGAGUCCGGAAGAGGAGAGUGGAAUUCCUGGUGUAGCGGUGAAAUGCGCAGAUAUCAGGAAGAACACCCGUGGCUAAGGCGGCUCUCUAGUACGGUACUGACGC